rnacentral:misc_RNA from 1 species
GUUACACAGGCUCCACAAGGCAAGAUCCAAGGGCCUGAGUAAAUUUAGACAUAUCAAAAGGUUACGCAUGACAGGAGCUAAUUGAUAUAUAUCUAAGCCAGUUGCUUUUAUGCCACAUCAUGAUCAUGGAUGUUUUAAUAUUCCAUGCAUUAAUAAAAUAAAACCAUAUUAAUGGAAAUAGCACCAAAAAUGUCUUACAUCCUCAAAAGCAUAAUAACUAU